AGAUUGGGUGAGCUUAGGAGCUAAAGUGAAGCCUAAGUUGGGAUUAAUCUUUAUCUAAGACGUUAUGCAGGAUUAGAUGCUUGGUGAGUUUUUGUGCUUGAUGGAUAUUGGGAGCUUCUCUGAUAUCGGUGUUUAGAUGUUUAGUCGGCUCUGAUCUAGGCUUCGUUGUGUCGGUCUAGAUUAGGUUAUCUUUGGAUUUUGUGAUGUUUGGAGAUUACCCGUUUGCUGGGAUUUUUGAGAUGUAUUUAUUUUGAUGUAAUUUAUUGAUCCAUAACAUGUAUACUUGGAUUUACUCUGGUUUAUAUUCCGCUGCGACUAUUGAGGUUUAUAUACAUGUUUAUUGGUUUUUGAAUUUUGAA